rnacentral:misc_RNA from 1 species
UUUCCGUAGGUGAACCUGCGGAAGGAUCAUUACUGGGUUUUUCUUGGGCUACCCGCCCAUCACCCGCCCUCUGUCACUUUAUACGAAUUGCUUCGGCCGACGGUUCUGCGAGCACCUGGCGCAUGCCGGUGUGAGUUGGGCCGCGGUCGGUCUACCAAAUCUAUUGCAUGUAUGUUGUCUGAAGAAAAAAAGAAAAACGAAACCAAAACUUUCAACAACGGAUCUCUUGGUUCUGGCAUCGAUGAAGAACGCAGC